AACGAACGCUGGCGGCAUGCCUAACACAUGCAAGUCGAACGAGACCUUCGGGUCUAGUGGCGCACGGGUGCGUAACGCGUGGGAACCUGCCCUUAGGUUCGGAAUAACUCCCCGAAAGGGGUGCUAAUACCGGAUAAUGUCUUCGGACCAAAGAUUUAUCGCCUUUGGAUGGGCCCGCGUUGGAUUAGCUAGUUGGUAGGGUAAAAGCCUACCAAGGCGACGAUCCAUAGCUGGUCUGAGAGGAUGAUCAGCCACACUGGGACUGAGACACGGCCCAGACUCCUACGGGAGGCAGCAGUGGGGAAUAUUGGACAAUGGGCGAAAGCCUGAUCCAGCAAUGCCGCGUGAGUGAUGAAGGCCUUAGGGUUGUAAAGCUCUUUUACCCGGGAUGAUAAUGACAGUACCGGGAGAAUAAGCUCCGGCUACUCCGUG
rnacentral:rRNA from 1 species